UUGCCCAACGGGGCUGUGGAUACCUACCUUUUAAUUCCUUUUU
rfam:Chlorocebus sabaeus isolate 1994-021 chromosome X, whole genome shotgun sequence.